AUGCUGGUGAGAGAGCGUACGGCGAUCGAGCGGCACUGUGAAGGGCGGCUGUUCAUCUAUGAUUUGGAUCGCUCACCAACCACAAACAACCAAAGAUCCAAGCGUUGCUCGUUACAUGUAACCAGUUCAUAUCCUCCCUGCGUUCAGAGAGAGAGAGAGCCCAUGGAGAAGGAGAAGACGGUCGUUCUGUACCCUGGCCUUUUCGUGAGCCACUUUGUCCCGAUGAUGCAGCUCGCAAGGGCCCUCCACGACCACGGCUACGCCGUCUCUGUCGCGCUCAUUGACCCCGCCGUCAAGGAGGACAUCGCCUUCAGCGCCGUCGUCCGCCGCGUCGCCGCCUCCAUGCCGUCCGUCCGCUUCCACACGCUCCGGGCCGUGAAGGACACGCCCAAGCUGACCCACGACGCGAGGUUCAUGGUGGAGGCCAAAGGAGAUGGUUGGGUGGCAGCAGGGCCUGGUCAAGGCCGGCGAGGUGGAGGCCAAAGUAAGGCUUGUGAUGGAGUCUGA
rnacentral:rRNA from 1 species